rnacentral:rRNA from 1 species
GAUUAGCUAAUACCGCAUACGAUCUACGGAUGAAAGCGGGGGAUCGCAAGACCUCGUGCUCAUAGAGCGGCCGAUAUCUGAUUAGCUAGUUGGUGAGGUAAAGGCUCACCAAGGCUUCGAUCAGUAGCUGGUCUGAGAGGACGACCAGCCACACUGGGACUGAGACACGGCCCAGACUCCUACGGGAGGCAGCAGUGGGGAAUUUUGGACAAUGGGGGCAACCCUGAUCCAGCAAUGCCGCGUGAGUGAAGAAGGCCUUCGGGUUGUAAAGCUCUUUUGUCAGGGAAGAAACGGGAUUUUCUAAUACAGAGUCCUAAUGACGGUACCUGAAGAAUAAGCACCGGCUAACUACGUGCCAGCAGCCGCGGUAAUACGUAGGGUGCAAGCGUUAAUCGGAAUUACUGGGCGUAAAGCGUGCGCAGGCGGUUAUGUAAGACAGGUGUGAAAUCCCCGGGCUUAACCUGGGAAUGGCAUUUGUGACUGCAUAGCUAGAGUGUGUCAGAGGGGGGUAGAAUUCCACGUGUAGCAGUGAAAUGCGUAGAGAUGUGGAGGAAUACCGAUGGCGAAGGCAGCCCCCUGGGAUAACACUGACGC